GGCGCUAUAGCCAAGUGGUUACGGCGACAGAUUCGAACAACCCGUAUUAUCUGUUCCUCUUUGAGGGCGCAGGUUCAAAUCCUGCUGGCGUCG